AAACCAUGAUGAGGACACUAGUUGAUAUAGCUCCUAAAUCUUUCCCAUGCUUCCCCAAAGGUCUCAUGGUAAAGCUUGAGAUUUGAUUCCUCAGUUU
rnacentral:snoRNA from 1 species